AGUGAACGCUGGCGGUAGGCCUAACACAUGCAAGUCGAACGGCAGCACAGUAAGAGCUUGCUCUUACGGGUGGCGAGUGGCGGACGGGUGAGGAAUACAUCGGAAUCUACUUUUUCGUGGGGGAUAACGUAGGGAAACUUACGCUAAUACCGCAUACGACCUACGGGUGAAAGUAGGGGAUCUUCGGACCUUGCGCGAUUGAAUGAGCCGAUGUCGGAUUAGCUAGUUGGCGGGGUAAAGGCCCACCAAGGCGACGAUCCGUAGCUGGUCUGAGAGGAUGAUCAGCCACACUGGAACUGAGACACGGUCCAGACUCCUACGGGAGGCAGCAGUGGGGAAUAUUGGACAAUGGGCGCAAGCCUGAUCCAGCCAUACCGCGUGGGUGAAGAAGGCCUUCGGGUUGUAAAGCCCUUUUGUUGGGAAAGAAAAGCAGCAGGUUAAUACCCCGCUGUUCUGACGGUACCCAAAGAGUAAGCACCGGCUAACUUCGUG
rnacentral:rRNA from 1 species